AUGUUCUUGGUAAGAAGUGCCUACAAGCUGGGUAAGGCUUUGCAGGAUGGACCGGGUGUAAGUUCCUCGGCAAUCUAUGGUAAUGGCAGGGAAAGCUUAUGGAAUUUAGUUUGGAAAGCUAAAGUUCCUCACAAAAUUCGUAUUUUUGCUUGGAGAACUGCCACUGACUCUCUGCCCACAAAGAAGAAUAAGCACAAAAGGACACUUGAAUUGGAUGGAGUUUGCAAGGUCUGUGGAAAUGCAUCUGAAAAUGCAUUCCAUGCUACAGUGGCCUGCACAAAGCAAAGAGCACUCAGAGAGGAAAUGAGGAAAUACUAA
rnacentral:rRNA from 1 species